GUGCAUUAAGAUCUACAAUAGUUAUGUGGUUGUAAUGCAGAAAUGAACAUACUUUACCUUGACUUGCUAUAAUUUGAUCCGGCAACUUCAUGUGCUAAGGACUUCCUUGUACACUAUGUUCUUCAUGGUCGUUAAUAAGGGCUCAGAUCUUUUUCGCUUCUUUGAAUUCUUGCUUUCUUCCUUACCCUUGCCCUUACCCUUGCCAUUGUCCUUGAUGGCGAGAAUCUUGAUGUUCCUCUUUGAUGUGGCUCUAGACAAUGCGACGUAGAGCUGACCGUGAGAGAAAACCGGGUCCGGUAGGUACACCCCGACAAUUGGGAUGGUCUACCCUUGCGCCUUGUUGAUUGUCAUGGCAAAGCUGAGCCUAAUAGGGAACUGCUUCCUCUUGAACUUGAAAGGGAAUAUAUCGUCAUCGGAUGGGCAGAGAGGUAUCCGAGGAAGGAACACCCUCCUACCAGCAUGUUGUCCUAGCACAAUUUCUGCAUCAAUGGCGUUCCUCUGAAAACCCCGGACCACAAGCCUUGUGCCGUUACACAACCCAUUAGCUGGAUCAAUGUUUCUCAACAGUAUAACAGGGCAAUUUAUCUUUAGUUUGAGUGCAUGCGGAGGCAGCCCGUUGGGAGUCAGAUUAUUAAGGAAUUCGGGGGCAUAGUAGCCGUGUGGAUCAUCCUCUGCACUAUCAAAACUGUGGUAGAUCUUCUCUUCGCCCUAGAAGCGCUCUAUCAUGCGCGUAUUUAUCUUAUCAACGUUGUCGUUGUUGGUGGAGAGGAUUGCUCGAGAUGUCAUGUAAUUUGGAUCAGCCAUGUUGUCGUCCAGAGCAGGAAAUGCAUGGUUGAUUAGCUUCUCUAGGUCAGCGCCGUCUCCUGUUGGCGGCAAAUAUCUUCGGGGAGCCUUAUGUUGCCUUCCUCGUCAGUUUCCUCGGUCCCAUUACCUACCCAUAGCAAGUAAUCUGCGAACCACGGGUCGUUAUGCGCCCUCAUGUUGGUGACGAGCCUUAGCUGGCGCAUGCCAUUCCAAAGGUACGAACUCCGCAGGGUAGCAUUGAUUAUCUGACCCCGUGACCCCUUCCUGCGAUCGGAAGCACCUACCUGAAGUCCCCACCGAACACGAAUGUCUUUCCCCCGAAUGGUCGGUCCCGUCGGCCCAUGAUGUCCCGCAUGCUAUUGUCUAGUGCCUCAACCGCUUGCCGCUUCGUCAUGGUGGCCUCGUCCCAUAGGAUGAGUGAAGCCAUGUGCAGGAGCUUGGCCGUCCCACUUUGCUUCGUGAAGCUGCACAACCCCCCAUCUUCAAUGUUGAGUGGGAUCUUGAACCUUGAGUGGGCUGUCCUUCCUCCAGGCAUGAUGGAAGCUGCGAUGCCUGACGUCGCUGUAGCUAGCGCGAUCUUGCCCUCGCCUUGAACCUUUGCAAGAAGUGACCUGUAUAGGAAGGUCUUCCCGGUGCCUCCCGGGCCAUCGACAAAGAAUAUACCACCAUCACCAGCAUCAACUGCUGCUAGUAUCUCGUCGUAUGCAAGCCUCUGCUCAGGUGGCGGACUCCUCGAUGACUUCUCUGGCCUCACCUCCAGUAGUGUCAUAGGUCUCGUCGAUGUCCGGAAGAGGGAACAAUGCUAUGUCUUUGCCCAUGGACUGUAGCAUGCCCCUAAUGUCAAGCAACACCAUCUGCUCCACUGCCUUUGAGCACGCGUGUAUUCGACGGUAGUCAUCGGACAUCGCGUCUAGGUGCCUAUCCCAUAGACCGCGCACGUCACCUGGCUCGCAGAAUACCAAGAUAGUUGCAAAGAGCCUCCUAAGUGAGGCUGGCAUCGCGAACUGUGUUGACUCUGUAAGACACUCGUCAAGCGUGUUGUCGGCCUCAAUGAGGCCCAAUCUCUCGGCAGCCUCACGAAAGCUAUCACAUAGCACUCCAUCCACGGUCUGCAGGUCCUCGAAGGAUGUCUUGCCUGGUAUGUGGUUAAGCAGCACUCGCAGAAAGUACCGCUCCCCCUCGGCUGGAUGGGCUGACACGAUUCAACCUACUUGGUGCUGCUUUUCUCUCGGCCUCCAGUAUUUCUGUCUCUGCCAUGUGAAACUUCCUGGAAAGUCCUUGUACAGGAUAUCCCGAGCCCACACGUGCUACUAAUUAGCGAGGAAAUACUCUGUCAGCAUUGACUUAGAUGCAGUAUCACGUGCGACGACAUCGGUCAGGUCCUCUCCUGCUUUGAACGUGACACUAUACAUAUUAGGGAGAUGAAGCGGCAACUGUAGGACCGACGGGAAACUCUCAGAAAGGUUGAAGCCGAAUAUCCUCCACAUCGCCUCCGGUGGAGUAACCCAUCUCGCAUCAACAUACCUUUUAAUCUCGUCUACAACCCCGUUGCUGUCAGGCUGGUCAAUACUGAAUGAAGCUCGAUCGUGACCCUUGUAUACGUAUUUGUAAAGGUACUUGACAGCCUUGAUGCUGGAGCACACCUCGACAUUUAUGUGGCAGUUGAACAUCCGCAACAGAUAAGGGUUGUAAGGCACGACCCAUCGAUUAUCCAGCAUUUGACGAUGGACCUUAGCCUGACGACCAUCGUCUCGCCGUCGAUAAACCGGGUAUGAAUCCUUCCCCUGUAAGGUGUUCUGGUUGAACGGUCGUGGGUACUUGCUCUUGCACUUCAAGUCUUGCAUGCACACAUUUUUGGGAUUAAGAUUGCUACAUGGGCCGUGCAUCAUAUGCUUCACGACCAUGGCAUAGAGCUCCGGAUACUUAUACCUGUCCGGGAGCUCUGCAGAUAUGACGCGGUCAUACUGCUCUGGCACCACGAGUUUAUAACUUGAAUUCAUGAUCAGCAGGAAGUGUGCAUGGGGGAGGCCCCUCUUCUGGAACUCGACGACAUACACAUGCGCUACCACAACACCAAGGAUGUGCUUUUUGAACAACAUCUCUUUCAUGGUCUCCAGCUUGGCCCUGAACAUGCGUGCCACAAGAUCUGGUCGGUCAUGGGGUGUCUAGCCAGGAAGCAGCUCAUUCAGUAUCUCCUCCCAGCUAGGAUUGCAUGUCAUAGUCAAAAAGAUGUCAGGCUUCCCAUAUGUCUGCACGAGUGCCAUGGCGUCCAUCUGCCUCCGCUUCAUGUCUCGGUUGCUUCCUUGAUGCGUCCCUGGCAGCACGAUCCUCUUCCCAACAGCGCUCGCUCGCAUCUCCCCAACCGCGAUGCUAUCCACAAGGCCUUGGUAUAGAUCGACAUGUAUCUCUCUCUGGUGGUCCCUGAUCCACUUUAGCCUACAUCCCUCAAUCUUGAUGAACAUGUCGACACCCCACUGCUGAAACAGGCAUGCUCCAUGUAGUAUGGGGUUGAAUAUCGCAGGGCGCGUCUGUAGCCGGUAAUAGUAGUAGUCCCUGACAGAGACACACAACCGGCUGUUCCCCUCUGUGGAAAGACGUGAAAGAAGAAGGUUAGGUACCAUAUGGAAGGAUAGAGAACUUUUUCUGGCAUAUAAGCAUACCAACCAGGCGCACCUGAAUCGUUAUCACGGUUUCCUCUUGGUUGUUGUGCAACCUCCCAAGGGACAUUGUGCUUAGGGAUAUUUGGAUGCCAACCAAGCUCCCCCCUUGGAAAAAAGAGGGGAUACGAGAGCGGGUCAUAACAGCCAUCUGUGGCAUGUAUACUAUACUUCUCGUUGUUGUCCCCAUAGAGUGUAAUGCUGCGGUUGAACCUGUUUGCUAGAUUGCUUCCCUCGACCCAAAUCGCAGCCACCACGGAUGACACGGGUCUAUUAUAUCUUCGUUGGUCUAGCUUCUGGUAAAUGUUGAGGUCUAUCCGGUACUCCUCGAGGUUUUCCUUGUGGGCACCCAAACUCCUAAACUGUUGGGAGUAGGGGUUUUCCCUCAGGACGUCCACUAACUUGCUGACAACGUGCUGGUCCAAUUGCUUGGUGGCCUCCUUCCGAUGGCUUAAGCUGGGAUCGUCAUCGUAGAAGUACAACUGCAGAUGUUCAGGGCGAGAUCUUGGACCAAACGAGUGCACCUUGUGGUACAUAGUGCCAUGUGCCCGAAACGUGUACACCCCGGACUUCAUGUUUGUGUAGUUGUUGUCUAGGCUGACGCCAAGGGUAGUGAAGGCAAAGUGCCCGUUGAAGAACCGAAUGCUCUCUCGGAAAUGCUGAGAGUCUGCAUCCGCGCUUGUCCAUAACCUCAUCAGCUCUGGGAUAGGCUCGGGUUCAGCUAGCUCAAUCUCCCCGUUCCGACAGCAGAAGCCGUCAGUCUCGUACUUGAACUUCUUGGCCUUGCAAUGCUCGCAGUUUGCCGCGUGCUUCAGGAUGUGCGUGCAGUCUGGGAUGUUCGAGUAGACAUAGUUGAAAGGAUCUAGGUCGAUAGAUCCCGUGUUGGAGGAUUCUACGGGCUCAUCGAGGUCCGUGCUAUCAGUGUCGGAUGCUGCAAGCAUUGUGGAGAUAUAAUAAGUCACGAUGGGAUGCACAUCAUAAACCAAUAAUAUAGAGGGAUGAGCAGCGAUGCGGAGUACCUUCACCGGCAAAUAGGUAGUACUCAUCAUCCAUGAGGUCACUGGAGAGUGCAUUCUCGUCCAUGAUGCCGCUAAGGAAGGCCUCCAUGUCAGCUGUAACAUUGUUGAGCCGGUAAGUAAUGGUUUUUAUUGUGAGUGCACACCAGGAGGGGAGUAAACAUGAGAGGGUUACCAUUGGUUCCGAUGGUGUAUGAUGGCAAGCUUGAUGAAGGGGAGGAAGCUGGUGAAGCAACUCCUGUGGGCGGUGCUUCUGAGCUUGUUGCUGCUUUGUUCACAUCUAAGGUACUUGCAUCUGGGCCUGCAGGCCUCCGUUUUUUUGAAAGCUUGCAUUACGACGAUAUAGCAAUGCUGACUUAUCACCUUCUGGUAUGAUUUUCCCGCGCGCUCUUCGUUUUAAGGCACUCCCUUGAAUGUUCUUUGCUCUAAUACUUUGUUUGUGAGCUUGCUCCCGAGCCCUACGCUGUGCUCUGCUCUCCUGCCUCUGCUCACGGGCUUGAUUCUGCUGGUCGUCUAUUUGGUGAUCAUUGGUUUGCUGCGACGGAUUUAUGAGUUUGCUGGGGGCAUCAUUAUCAUCCAGGGUACGACUAAGGUACUCGCCUGCACCGUUGUGGAGCCGUUAAAUACUGGUUCAAUGCACAUGGACACAACAAGUAGAGUAAAGAUGGAAGGAUUACCGUCUGAUUCGAAGUUUCUCCCAGCCUUACUCGCAAAACUGGGGGCAGGGGCAGGAGCUGAAGCUUCAGAUUCUCUGCAUGCCAACGCAUGAGUGCUCGACAUCAGGUUGGGUGUAGCUAAGGUAUCUGCAUCAGGGCGCGGCAUUGCGAUGGAUUCAGUGCAAGGGGUGUUGCUCCUAGCUGCGAGUCUCUUCUUGCACUGAGCUAGCAUGUUCUGCUUCUCCUUAGGUGAUAUGUUUUGCAGACGUGUUCUUCGGCGGGCAUUUGUCUCUUGCUUGUCAUGGACUGACAUAUUUUGGUAGGCCGCCCUUCUAAGGGUGUUACUCUGUUGCUUCUCCUCUGAUGUCAUUCGUUGCCUGGCUUCUCUUUGACGGGCAGUCCUCUCCUCCUCUGUUUUCUUUUUCCUAGCUUCUCUGCGACGUGCAUUGAUUUCCUCCCUCUGUUCAGGUGUUAAUCUAUUUCGCCGUGCUAUAUAUUGGUCUCGCCUUUUCUGUUUUCUAUCUGAUUUACUGAUAUCAUUUGAAGCAAUGUGCUCAGGGACAUUGUCUUCAGUGUCGAGUCCAAGUGCUAUGCCUGAACCAAUAUUAUGGUCAAUGCUUCUCUCUGUUCCUCGAAAUGAUGCAUGGUGAUCAUAUUAAGUGCCCUCACGAGAAUGAUUUCCUGAAGAACCAUUUUUUUAAUAAAUGUAUAAAUGCAAAGUGAAAAAAAGUCGUGUGUAAGGGCGAUACCGAUUGAUGUUUCCACAUGCGGCACUGGCUGAAAGGCCUUGAGAUUGCCGGCUAUAGGAAUCAUCAUAGGCAGUUGCGUGGGCACAUUGUCAUCAUCAUCGGAAGACGAAACACUGUAGUUAGUAGUGCCUGUUUGUUCGCGUAUGAAAAAACCAGAUGGUGGUCGGUGUGUAUUGGUGAGUUGUGAUCUGGGUGUCCUCUCAUAUUCGACAACUGAUAAGAUGAAUGUAAGUUAAGUUUUGAAGCUUAUUGAAUACCUUAUGUGCAGACAUGUGAUUGGCAUACACAUACCUUUUUUUCCUUUAUCAUAGAGAUGUUGUCUGUCCUGUGACAUCUUUCUGUCCUAUAGAAGCUUAAAUAAACCUGCAGUCUUUUUGCAUUAAAAAAUGAUAUGAAUUGAAUUACAAAAAUGAUAUGACCUCUGGUGACUCAUUUAACAGGCUUUUAGGACUCACUUGUUCAUUUUCAUAGACAUGUUCUUUGCAUAUGGUUUUCUUCCAAAGUAAAAUGAUUGUGCUAUUAUAUGUUGACGGCUGAAGUUUGUAUAUUUCAGUUUAUAAAGUGCAAGAUUUUGUAGAAGUUCAACUUUUAAAAAAGAGGGCUCAGACAUGGCGACAAGAAUGAAGGUGGAGGGGAAGGAGUGGAGAGAAAGAUGUCUGUCUCCACGUGGUUCAUGUGCCUAUCACCCAUUAACAAGAUCUCAGUUAUCUGCAUGGUUCUCUAAUUAGUAUGUUUUCCCGGACGAAGAGAAGGUAUGAUCCUGGACUUCUAAUGGUUCCCUAUAUACCUGACAUUGAAAUUUUACCAGUUUGUUGGAUUUCUCAAAAUCAUGUCUAACACAGUUUUUUCUGGUAAAUAUAUAGCAAGAUUUUCAUGUUGUUCCAUGCAAAAAGUAAGUUGGUUAUUUAGUUGUAUGUGGUACUUUGGUUUCAGGUUUCUUCUUACAUGGUUCCUUUGUUGUAUUUCAUGAAGGAUCCGGAUCGAUGAAUUACCAAUUUAAGACAUUCAUAUGAAAGUUUCCUGCAUUUUUCGUUGAAGCAACUAGUAUCUCUACUCUAUAUAUUAAUAGAAACAAUCACAAGGUUUUAUGUACAGGAAAUAUAUUUUUCCUGCACUUGCAAUUGCAACCACAUAUCCAUAGUUUGUUGGUUUGUUUCCAAUAAUAUGCAUGAUCUCUCUGUUGAAUUUCAAUAUUAUAGCUGCCAGUUAAGAAAAUAUGACAAGCAGUUGUGAUAUCCGAGUGUCCUUUUUGUGAUUUUCAUAUUUGUAUCACUGAUGCGUGCAGAUUUAUAAUGGUCAAGAUACUGUUGGCCAAAUCUGUUUCCCCAGAAUUAGUAGGAUUAUGUGUUCCAUUGUGCAUACCCGAAUAUUCAGAGUAAUAGGCAUGCAACAACGUCUAUACGUACUCGAUCAAUCAGUACUCUAUCCUAGAACCGAUGAAAAAAACUGUGAGCACACUUAAGUACUAACCUUCUAUUUGUAUGCACAUCAAAAAUAAGAUCUAUUAUCUUAUAUGACCACAUAUUGAUGGUACUAAAAUUGCUUCUGAUAUUGCGGGUUCAACUUGACCCUUUAAUUUGAUAGGCUUCUAAUUGAUUUGCCUCUCAAUAGGUUUCUAGCUCUCUGUAUUCCCCUUCAUGUUGUCAUAAAAACAUAUCAUUUUCUUUGGAAAAUAAAUAUAGAAACAUAUGGUCUCUAUGUCACAAUGGGCAUGCCCUGAUGUAUGUUUGCGGACUAAUCCUUCCAAAAAAAAUUUCUGGGCAUGAAAAAUUCUGGACGACGAUUUCAGCGGCGUUUCUGUUUUGGCGGUGUUAAAACAAUCUGGAAUAUAAAGGAUUCUGGAGGAGUCUGGAUGGCAAACCUAGGGAGUUCGGGCACCCCGUCGGAGAGGAAGAAGACAGUAGGCAGGCUCAGGAGAUGACGCAGCAACAGCCGUCGAGCGUUUGGACGCCCUGGUUGUGGUUCGGCAUGCGAGGCGAUCAGCAGAGGGUGCAGCUCCGACAGCUCGCGUGCGGACGAUGUGGCCGGACGAACUGGCGUCUGUUUUGGCGGCGUUCGUUUGCGUGUGGAUGGAGCUCGUACGUCAGGAAGAACUGGUGUCUUGAUGGAGCUCGUACGCCAGGAAGAACUGGCGUUCGUUGGCGGGUCGAAGAAGUUUGAUUUUUGGUCGAUGGACCUUGUCCUCGUUCGUGGCGAUCGUGGGGUUCCUGGACUUCUUGUUCGUGUGUUCUCGUACGUGGGCUGAGUUGGUGGGCGCUGAGUUCGUGUGUUGAACUGUGGAUCUGGAUCUCGUACGUGGGCUGAGUUGGUGAUUUUGCGUACGUGGGC